rnacentral:rRNA from 1 species
UACGGAGGGGGCUAGCGUUGUUCGGAAUUACUGGGCGUAAUGGGCGCGUAGGCGGUGCGAUCAGUCAGGCGUGAAAGGCCCGGGCUCAACCCGGGGACUGCGCUUGAUACUGUUGCGCUGUGAGUCCGGGAGAGGAUGGCGGAAUUCCCAGUGUAGAGGUGAAAUUCGUAGGUAUUGGGAAGAACACCGGUGGCGAAGGCGGCCAUCUGGACCGGCACUGACGCUGAGGCGCGAAAGCGUGGGGAGCAGACAGG